UACGUAGGAGGCGAGCGUUGUCCGGAGUUACUGGGCGUAAAGGGUGCGCAGGCGGCGGUUCGCGUGGCGAGAUGAAAUCUCCUGGCUUACCUGGGAGGAUGGUCGCCAGACGGGAUCGCUUGAGGGUCGGAGAGGGGCGUGGAAUUCCCGGUGUAGUGGUGAAAUGCGUAGAUAUCGGGAGGAACACCAGUGGCGAAGGCGACUUCCUGGCCUGUUCUUGACGCUGAGGCGCGAAAGCUAGGGGAGCAAACGGG
rnacentral:rRNA from 1 species